GAGAUUUGAGGUUAAUUUGUCAAUAAUUUCCAUAGGGGACUGUCUUGGUCAAAUUCAUAAAGUGGAGUGGCUGAAUUGGGCGAUUAGACCAAAAAUUGAAAUUAGGGAAAAGGGGUCAGGUCUCCGUUUUCUUCAAUUUGAGAAAAAGAAACAACCGAUCGAAGAAAGGGCUCUAAUGGCGUUCGAUCGGGAAAAGAAGCAGGGGGAGGAUCUCUGGGGUUUCGCUGGACCGAAGGAAAAAGAUGAAAAGAAGCAGGAAGCUGUUGUCGAUUCUUGGUGGGUGAAGGUUUGAGAAGUUGAGGACCUUCUCUCACUCACAACUGCUGAUCCCAGUGAUGAAGACUCGGGUGAUGUGAGGCCUCUUCAGUCUUCUAGUGGUUCUCCACAAGUUGGUGCUUCAAAAAGAUCUAUGAUAAGGCUGGACAAUCUUAUAAUGGAGGCAAUAAACAACUUGAAGGAGCAUGGUGGCUCUAAUAAGACUACCAUUGGCACAUACAUAGAGGUAUCUGUGUUAUAUUGUGUUUUUUUAGCUUUAACUUUUAGUUUCUUUUUAAUCAGCAUGUUUAAUAAUAGAUAAUGGGAAUAUAUAGUUUAAUUGAUUAGUUUAUUACAAAAUUAUACUUUAAAUUAUUCGUAAAAGAUACAUAUAAAGACACAUCGAUUAAAACAACAAUGGAUGAAAGAGGAAGAUGAAUACAUCUUACAGUACUUUCAUGCAUAUGUUAAAUAGACAUACGUAAAAGUAAAUCCAAUAUGCAUAAAUCCAAUUUAAUAAUGAGAAAAAACAGGAGAAUUGAGAGUAAAGAAACCCCAAAAGAUGGUAUAAAAAAGAGAUAUAGAGAAGUCAUAUAUGCAGAUAGAUUACAUAUUAAAGAAAACUAACCUUAAACCUUAUCAACAAUGAUUGAAUGAAAACGAUCGAGUUAAAUGGAUUUGAAAUGAUUAAUCUAAGAUUGGAUGCAGAGAGGUGUAGGAAAACAAUGAAUGAAUGUAAUAGUCAAUUAUAUAGCGAGAUUAUGAGAAAAUUAACUUUUGCAAAGUAGUCUCAUAAGCAGAAUCGUGGAUACCAAAGCAUGUAGAUCUUAUAGUCAUAUAUAUGGGUAUGCAUUUAUUUCCAGCAAAUUUUUUGGGAUUUACUUAAUUGAUAGCUCGAUAAUUUUAAGAAUGCUGAAAAGAAGGAAUAUAUUAGAUGGAUAAUAGUAGUAUUCUGAAAAGAUAAUUUUAAGAAUGCAGAUUUUUUGGGAUUUAAUCACGGGAAAUUAUUUAAUUUCCAAUCACAAUAAACAAACUUCCAUAUAAAUCAGGUAUUUCGAAUUUCAAAUUUGAAUAACCGAUUUUUGUAUAUUAUUUGCAAAUCUUUUAUUCAUUUUAAAUUUUUGAUUGCAUUUUUUUACUGCAGUUUUUUCCGGAUUAAUUGCCUCUAUUUGAAGUGGAGGAUUAACGUAAAUGGACCUGAAGAAAAGAAGUGGGAAAAAUAUAUUUUGGGGGUCUGGGAGACUGACACGUGGCACUAUUCUACUUAUUUAUUAGGAUAGGGGAUAUAUAUAUAUACAAACCAGUUUUGACGGGUAACCGGCGGGUAGCGGUUCCGGAAAAAUGAAAACCGGAACCACUUAAGGCAGUUCCAAACUUUCCGGUUCCAAAACCAACGGUUCCGAAAGUGGGUACCAUGUUAUUCUGCCUACGAAAUAGUAGAAAGAAAGUGGAUGACCAUCUUAUAUAGAAGCGAAUGUUGGCUUAAGUUUUAUUAAUGGGCAAUGUACUAUAGAGUUAAGUCGAUGGCAAAAUAAAUCAAGAAAAAUAAGGUUAGCAGGUUUCGAACUUGCAUCA